ACCUCAAAGGAAUUGACGGGGGCCCGCACAAGCGGAGGAGCAUGUGGUUUAAUUCGAUGAUACGCGAGGAACCUUACCUGGGCUCGAACGUAAGAUGACUGUAGGUGAAAGCUUACAUCUCUUCGGAGCAUUUUACGAGGUGCUGCAUGGUUGUCGUCAGCUCGUGCCGUGAGGUGUCGGGUUAAGUCCCAUAACGAGCGCAACCCCUACCUUUAGUUGCCAUCAGGUUAAGCUGGGGACUCUAAAGGAACUGCCUACGCAAGUAGUGAGGAAGGCGGGGAUGACGUCAAAUCAGCACGGCCCUUACGUCCAGGGCUACACACGUGCUACAAUGGUCGGUACAAAGGGUUGCCAAGCCGCGAGGUGGAGCUAAUCCCAUAAAACCGAUCGUAGUCCGGAUCGCAGUCUGCAACUCGACUGCGUGAAGUCGGAAUCGCUAGUAAUCGUGAAUCAGAAUGUCACGGUGAAUACGUUCCCGGGCCUU
rnacentral:rRNA from 1 species